CCUACGGGAGGCAGCAGUGGGGGAUAUUGCACAAUGGGGGAAACCCUGAUGCAGCGACGCCGCGUGUGUGAAGACGGUCCUCUGGAUUGUAAACCACUUUCCCCAGGGACGAAGAUGACGGUACCUGGGGAGGAAGCUCCGGCUAACUACGUGCCAGCAGCCGCGGUAAUACGUAGGGAGCGAGCGUUGUCCGGAAUUACUGGGUGUAAAGGGAGCGUAGGGGGGGAUGCAAGUUGGGUGGCAAAACUACCGGCUCAACUGGGAGUCGAACCUGAAACUGCAGGUCUUGAGUGAAGUAGAGGCGAGCGGAAAUCCUAGGGUAGCGGUGGAAUGCGUAGAUAAUAGGAGGAAAACCAGUGGCGAAGGCGGACUGCUGGGCUUUUACUGACGGUGAGGCUAGAAAGGGUGGGGAGCCAACAGGAUUAGAUACCCUAGUAGUC
rnacentral:rRNA from 1 species